AACGAACGCUGGCGGCAGGCCUAACACAUGCAAGUCGAACGCCCCGCAAGGGGAGUGGCAGACGGGUGAGUAACACGUGGGAACCUUCCCUAUAGUACGGAAUAGCCCAGGGAAACUUGGAGUAAUACCGUAUACGCCCGAAAGGGGAAAGAAUUUCGCUAUAGGAUGGGCCCGCGUAGGAUUAGCUAGUUGGGGAGGUAAUGGCUCACCAAGACGACGAUCCUUAGCUGGUUUGAGAGAACGACCAGCCACACUGGGACUGAGACACGGCCCAGACUCCUACGGGAGGCAGCAGUGGGGAAUAUUGGACAAUGGGCGCAAGCCUGAUCCAGCCAUGCCGCGUGAGUGAUGAAGGCCUUAGGGUUGUAAAGCUCUUUUGCCGGGGACGAUAAUGACGGUACCCGGAGAAUAAGUCCCGGCUAACUUCGUGCCAGCAGCCGCGGUAACAC
rnacentral:rRNA from 1 species